UUUCCAACAAAUUACCUCCAAAAAUUUAAAACUCGAUGGAUAAUGAAUUGCCCUUACACCUUCUUGGCUAAUAUCUUUAGUAUCAACAGUAGCUGGAACAUCUUCUCUUCUUAUAUAUUCAAUCUAGAGAUGAUCUAAAUUUUAAGUUAUAAAUGGAAGCUAAAUACCACUACAUUUACUAAACUGUUGUGAUAGCAUGGAUAGGCUCUAAGUAUAGUCUUAGUUUUACUUGUGAAGCAUUAGGUGCUCGGAUGAGAGGAAGAAAAGAACAAAAACCAAAUAAGUUCCCAAACCAAAAGCUGAGGGACUUGGGUAUGGAGUUUACACCAGUGAAACAAUGCUUAUAUGAGACAGUGAAAAACCUGCAGGAGAAGGGUCACCUACAGGGGAGCUACAAGCCUGGAUAUGGUCUCGGCCGAAGACAAGAAUAAAUUCAUUAAAUAUGUACAUAUAUUAGAUUUAGAAUCAUAUUUGUUAUCAUUUUAAAGUUCAGAACGCAUAAAGUUGCAAUCCUGGCUCCGUCUCUGAACUCAACUUCCAUUCCCUACUCAAAAUGAUGAUCCUAUUCGAAUUCAUAUUAGUGUCUGAUGCGCUUCGCGUACAUUGAGGGGCGAGCAGCUAUUGUAAAGUUGGGAGAGGGGUAACAACCCAAUCGGUCAUUUUGAGUUCUAGGACCCCUUUCUCCUGUUUGAGAUUCUCCGUAGAUUCAUUUGGUGAUUUAUGACUUGCAGGUAUGGAUGACAUGGGUCCAAAAGGUUCAGGAGUACUUUAAAAUUAUUGAACUUGAACUAGAAGCCUAAAGUUAAGAGAGUUGACAAAAGUCAACAUUUUGAGUAAAUGACCCUAGAUUCAUGAUUUGAAGGUUCCAAUAAGUUCGUAUAAUGAUUUUGGACUUGUGUGCAUGUUGAUAUUGGAGCCCAGAGGCCCGGGUGCUAUUCAGCACUAUUGCAUGAAACUUUGGAGUUUAAGGUUUAAGUUUGACUUAAGAGUUGAAUUUGUCUUGUAGCAUUUCCUUUUGUGGUUGGAGCCUUUGGACAAGUCCAUACAGGGUAUUUCCACUUGUCGGCAUGGUUUGACGUGCAGAAACGUGGUCUUUUGCACUUGACGUGACUUCACAAGAGAUCUGCUCCUAAUCUAUAAAUAAUUUGGUGAAGAUGUCUUGACGAGAGUCACAACCCUUAGAAUCUAGGUUCCAGAAUAUCAAACCGUUCGUAACUCCGUCAUCUGUAUCAAAAGUUAUGACUAUUUUAGUGAAGGGUGGCAUGCUGUCAUUUAUGAAAAUCAGCACUAAAAAUUUCAGCUCUGGUGUAUAUAACCCCAGUUUCUACUUGGACUUCAUUUUAUCACUUUGGGAGCUAGGGGUCUCGGAUUGAGGUAAUUUUUGAGAGGAUUUUCAUCAACUUCAUUGGGGGUAAGUAAUUUUAACUUGAACAUGAUUAUUAGAAUCUAUCUUUGAUUUUGCCUUAGAAUGAAGGAUUUAAAAGAGGAAAAAAGGGGUUUUUUGACUUAAAUAAAAGAAAGUCCUUUUGAUGAUUUGAACAUGCAAAUGCCAUCGAGUUUGGAUUUUGACUAUGGAUUAGAGUUGCUUGACUCACGGGUAAACUUUCAUGAAUUGUAUUUCGAGUUUUGACUGUAUUGACCAAACACAAUAUUUGCGUUGACUUUGGAUUUUAAACUUCCUAAAUUGAUGAGAUUAGAUAUACUAAUCUAUUUGGACUCAUAAUUCGUGAUUUUGAAUAGAUUGAGGCCUUUAGAGAUAUUUUUGGCCAUAUUUGGGGUUUCAAGUAAAGGUUUGGAGUAAAAUCUUAGCUUUUACAAGGCAGGCCCAGCCAUUGUGUAGCUUCUGUAUAGAAAGCAGGGAGUCCGUCUCAACCUGAAUGAGUCUAUAACCCUCCUCCCAGAAGCUAGUAGUUUGGCUAAAAAGAGAUAAUCAGAAGAAAAUGAUCGGGCAGGGAUGCACAGCAGGAACUUGCAAAUUGCUUUUUUCCUAGCAUUGAACCUUACUUCAAAGACUGGAAAGCUUACAACACAGGUAAUAGAGCGAAGCCUUAGGCUGAUAAACUGAUUGAAGGCAGACCAAGAGCAUUACCUACGAGGGCCUUGGGGCAGUGUCUCUUCAGGUACCUAAUCCUUUGAGGGCCAAGAAGCGGUUUGGGCUGAGCUAGCUGUAAUGAAGGGAGUUCAAUUAAAUCGCCUUUGUCAAAAAAUUAUGCUGUGCAAAAAGGAUAAAAACAUACAGUAUCUUUUUGUAUCAGGAAGGCCAACCAUCUCCAAUGUCUUGUCCCAUACUUGAUGAGAAGUUCCCACAUUAUAUGCUUCUUUGCUAGGUUUCGUCGUCAAACAAUGGCAACCAAUGAAGACACAAACAGGCCACUCUUCUGCUUUCAACUUAC